rnacentral:rRNA from 1 species
GACGAACGCUGGCGGCGUGCUUAACACAUGCAAGUCGAACGGAAAGGCCCUGCUUUUGUGGGGUGCUCGAGUGGCGAACGGGUGAGUAACACGUGAGUAACCUGCCCUUGACUUUGGGAUAACUUCAGGAAACUGGGGCUAAUACCGGAUAGGAGCUCCUGCUGCAUGGUGGGGGUUGGAAAGUUUCGGCGGUUGGGGAUGGACUCGCGGCUUAUCAGCUUGUUGGCGGGGUAGUGGCUUACCAAGGCUUUGACGGGUAGCCGGCCUGAGAGGGUGACCGGCCACAUUGGGACUGAGAUACGGCCCAGACUCCUACGGGAGGCAGCAGUGGGGAAUAUUGCACAAUGGGCGGAGGCCUGAUGCAGCAACGCCGCGUGCGGGAUGACGGCCUUCGGGUUGUAAACCGCUUUCGCCUGUGACGAAGCGUGAGUGACGGUAAUGGGUAAAGAAGCACCGGCUAACUACGUG